rnacentral:rRNA from 1 species
UACGUAGGGCGCAAGCGUUAUCCGGAAUUAUUGGGCGUAAAGAGCUCGUAGGCGGUUUGUUGCGUCGGCUGUGAAAUCCCGAGGCUCAACCUCGGGUCUGCAGUCGAUACGAGCAAACUAGAGUGUUGCAGGGGAGACUGGAAUUCCUGGUGUAGCGGUGAAAUGCGCAGAUAUCAGGAGGAACACCGGUGGCGAAGGCGGGUCUCUGGGCCGACACUGACGCUGAGGAGCGAAAGCGUGGGGAGCGAACAGG